rnacentral:rRNA from 1 species
UCCUACGGGCGGCUGCAGUGGGGAAUAUUGCACAAUGGGCGCAAGCCUGAUGCAGCGACGCCGCGUGAGGGAUGAAGGCCUUCGGGUUGUAAACCUCUUUCAGCAGGGAAGAAGCGCAAGUGACGGUACCUGCAGAAGAAGCGCCGGCUAACUACGUGCCAGCAGCCGCGGUAAUACGUAGGGCGCAAGCGUUGUCCGGAAUUAUUGGGCGUAAAGAGCUCGUAGGCGGUCUGUCGCGUCUGCUGUGAAAACUCGGGGCUCAACCUCGGGCUUGCAGUGGGUACGGGCAGACUAGAGUGCGGUAGGGGAGACUGGAAUUCCUGGUGUAGCGGUGGAAUGCGCAGAUAUCAGGAGGAACACCGAUGGCGAAGGCAGGUCUCUGGGCCGCAACUGACGCUGAGGAGCGAAAGCAUGGGGAGCGAACAGGAUUAGAUACCCUAGUAGUCC